UACAGAGGUCCCAAGCGUUGUUCGGAUUCACUGGGCGUAAAGGGUGCGUAGGUGGUUAGGUAAGUCGGAUGUGAAAUCUCCGAGCUCAACUCGGAAAUGGCAUUGGAAACUACCUUGCUCGAGGGUUGGAGGGGGGACUGGAAUGCUUGGUGUAGCAGUGAAAUGCGUAGAUAUCAAGCGGAACACCAGUGGCGAAGGCGAGUCCCUGGACAACUCCUGACACUGAGGCACGAAAGCUAGGGGAGCAAACAGG
rnacentral:rRNA from 1 species